GUACUCACUUUAGUAGUGCAUCUGAUAAAAACUUGGAGUGAUUCAGAGAAGGUUAACAUGACCUCUGCAUAAGGAUGACAUGGAAAUUCAUACAGUGUUUCAUAGCUUUU